CAGCCGCCGCGGUAAUACGAAGGGGGCUAGCGUUGUUCGGAUUUACUGGGCGUAAAGCGCACGUAGGCGGACUUUUAAGUCAGGGGUGAAAUCCCGGGGCUCAACCCCGGAACUGCCUUUGAUACUGGGAGUCUUGAGUUCGAGAGAGGUGAGUGGAAUUGCGAGUGUAGAGGUGAAAUUCGUAGAUAUUCGCAGGAACACCAGUGGCGAAGGCGGUUCACUGGCUCGAUACUGACGCUGAGGUGCGAAAGCGUGGGGAGCAAACAGGAUUAGAUACCCCUGUAGUCCCUGUCUCUUAUAC
rnacentral:rRNA from 1 species